AUUGAACGCUGGCGGCAUGCCUUACACAUGCAAGUCGAACGGUAACGCGGGGCAACCUGGCGACGAGUGGCGAACGGGUGAGUAAUGUAUCGGAACGUGCCCAGUAGUGGGGGAUAGCCCGGCGAAAGCCGGAUUAAUACCGCAUACGACCUGAGGGUGAAAGCGGGGGAUCGCAAGACCUCGCGCUAUUGGAGCGGCCGAUAUCAGAUUAGCUAGUUGGUGGGGUAAAGGCCUACCAAGGCGACGAUUUGUAGCUGGUCUGAGAGGACGACCAGCCACACUGGGACUGAGGAACGGACCAGACUCCUACGGGAGGCAGCAGUGGGGAAUUUUGGACAAUGGGCGAAGGCCUGAUCCAGCCAUGCCGCGUGCGGGAAGAAGGCCUUCGGGUUGUAAACCGCUUUUGUCAGGGAAGAAAAGGCUCGAACUAAUACUUUGGGCUCAUGACGGUACCUGAAGAAUAAGCACCGGCUAACUACGUGCCAGCCGCCGCCGUAAGAC
rnacentral:rRNA from 1 species